UAUAUUUAUAAUUUAUAUUUAUAUUUAUAGAAUAGAUAUAUUGUGCAGUGCUUAGAGUGCAGGACUGCAAGCUACUCCCACUGCAAUUUGGCAGAUCCCAACAGGCUCAAGGUUGACUCAGCCUUCCAUCCUUCCGAGGUGGAUAAAAUGAGGACCCAAAUUGUUGGGGGCAAUAUGCUGA